rnacentral:rRNA from 1 species
GAUGAACGCUGGCGGCGUGCUUAAGACAUGCAAGUCGAACGGAGUGUGUAGCAAUACUCACUAAGUGGCGAAUGGGUGAGUAACACGUAGGUGACCUGCCCUGAAGUGCGGAAUAACAGUCCGAAAGGACUGCUAAUACCGCAUGUGGUCCCGGGCGUUAGAGAACCGGGUCUAAAGCAGUAAUGCGCUUCAGGAGGGGCCUGCGGUCCAUCAGCUAGUUGGUAGGGAAUGGCCUACCAAGGCAACGACGGAUAGGGGACC